GGACUACAGGGGUAUCUAAUCCUGUUUGCUCCCCACGCUUUCGCGCCUGAGCGUCAGCCGUCGGCCAGGGCACUGCCUUCGCCAUUGGUGUUCUUCCGGAUCUCUACGCAUUUCACCGCUCCACCCGGAGUUCCAUGCCCCUCUCCGACGCUCAAGCCUCCCCGUCUGAAAGGACCUCUCCCAGUUAAGCCGGGAGCUUUCACCCCUCACGCGGGAGGCCGCCUGCGCGCCCUUUACGCCCAGUAACUCCGGACAACGCUCGUCUCCUACGUAUUACCGCGGCUGCUGGCAC
rnacentral:rRNA from 1 species